rnacentral:rRNA from 1 species
AUGCACACUGGCGGUAUGCUUAACACAUGCAAGUCGCACGGACUCUUCGGAGUUAGUGGCGGACGGGUGAGUAACGCGUGAGAAUCUGGCUUUGGGUUCGGGACAACCACUGGAAACGGUGGCUAAUACCGGAUGUGCCGAGAGGUAAAAGAGAAAUUGCCUGAAGAUGAGCUCGCGUCUGAUUAGCUAGUUGGUGAGGUAAAGGCUCACCAAGGCAGCGAUCAGUAGCUGGUCUGAGAGGAUGACCAGCCACACUGGGACUGAGACACGGCCCAGACUCCUACGGGAGGCAGCAGUGGGGAAUUUUCCGCAAUGGGCGAAAGCCUGACGGAGCAAUACCGCGUGAGGGAAGAAGGCUCUUGGGUUGUAAACCUCUUUUCUUAGGGAAGAACAAAAUGACGGUACCUAAGGAAUCAGCAUCGGCUAACUCCGUG